rnacentral:rRNA from 1 species
UGAAUACGAGAUGCUACGGCGUCGAAGCAGUCUAUGUCAUACUUCCAAGAAAAGCUUGCACUGUCAUAAACAAAUAAUGCCUGUACCAUAACCGACACAGGUGGGUAGGUAGAGUAUACUAAGGGGCGCGAGAUAACUCUCUCUAAGGAACUCGGCAAAAUGACUCCGUAACUUCGGGAGAAGGAGUGCCUUAUUUAUAAGGUUGCAAUAACAAGAUCCAAGCAACUGUUUACCAAAAACACAGGUCUCCGCUAAGUCGUAAGACGAUGUAUGGGGGCUGACGCCUGCCCAGUGCCAGAAGGUUAAAGAAGUUGGUUAGCAUCCGCGAAGCUGGUAACUGAAGCCCUGGUGAACGGCGGCCGUAACAAUAACGGUCCUAAGGUAGCGAAAUUCCUUGUCGGGUAAGUUCCGACCCGCACGAAAGGCGUAAUGAUUUGGAUACUGUCUCGGAGAGGGGCUCGGUGAAAUAGACUUGUCUGUGAAGAUGCGGACUACCUGCACCAGGACAGAAAGACCCUAUGAAGCUUUACUGUAACCUGAAAUUGAAAUUGGACUUUACUUGCGCAGUAUAGGUGGGAGGCGUUGAGAAUAUUCUUGCGGGAUUAUUGGAGCCAUCAGUGAGAUACCACUCUUGUAAUGUUAGAUUUCUAACUUUGUAUCAUUAUCUGGUCAAAGAACAGUUUCAGGCGGGCAGUUUGACUGGGGCGGUCGCCUCCUAAACGGUAACGGAGGCGCACAAAGGUUUCCUCUGAACGGGUAGAAAUCGUAUCUAGAGUGUAAAGGCAUAAGGAAGCUUGACUGUGAGACCUACAAGUCGAGCAGGGACGAAAGUCGGUCUUAGUGAUCUGACGGUGCUGAGUGGAAAGGCCGUCACUCAACGGAUAAAAGUUACUCUAGGAUAACAGGCUGAUCUCCCCCAAGAGUUCACAUCGACGGGGAGGUUUGGCACCUCGAUGUCGGCUCAUCGCAUCCUGGGGCGGUAGUACGUCCCAAGGGUUGGGCUGUUCGCCCAUGAAAGCGGUACGCGAGCUGGGUUCAGAACGUCGUGAGACAGUUCGGUCCAUAUCCGGUGUAGGCGUUAGAAUAUUGAGAGGAGCCUUCUUUAGUACGAGAGGACCGAGAAGGACAUACCUCUGGUGUACCAGUUAUCGUGCCAACGGUAAACGCUGGGUAGCUAUGUGUGGAGUGGAUAACCGCUGAAAGCAUCUAAGUGGGAAGCCCACCUCAAGAUAAGUAUUCUCAU